rnacentral:rRNA from 1 species
GUGUCAGCCUCCGCGGUAAUACGUAGGGUGCUAGCGUUGUUCGGAAUCAUUGUGCGUAAAGCGCGUGUAGGUUGUCAGUUAAGUCGAUUGUGAAAUCCCUGGGCUCAACCCAGGAAGUGCAGUCGAAACUAGCUGGCUAGAAGAUGGUAGAGGAAGGUGGAAUUCCAAGUGUAGAGGUGAAAUUCGUAGAUAUUUGGAGGAAUACCUGUGGCGAAGGCGGCCUUCUGGACCAUUCUUGACACUGAGACGCGAAAGCGUGGGUAGCAAACAGGAUUAGAUACCCCCGUAGUCC